UACGUAGGGUGCAAGCGUUGUCCGGAAUCACUGGGCGUAAAGGGCGCGUAGGCGGCUCAUGAAGGCUGUGGUGAAAGUCCGGGGCUCAACCUCGGAUCGGCCGUGGCGACUCGUGGGCUGGAGCACUGAAGAGGCGAGUGGAAUUCCUGGUGUAGCGGUGAAAUGCGCAGAUAUCAGGAGGAACACCAAUGGCGAAGGCAGCUCGCUGGGACGUAUACGCUGAGACGCGAAAGCGUGGGGAGCAAACAGG
rnacentral:rRNA from 1 species